UUUUUUUUUGAAGAUCAAAGUUCAAAGUACAAAUAAGUUAAGCCCACACAAAACAACCCAAAGUCUCGGUUCAAGACUUACAAGAAAAGUCCAGCCCAAGAUCAAAGGAAAUUCAAGCAAGUUGAAGGAAGCUCCUGUAACUCCACCACUAUCAAUGAGGACACCAAAGAAGUACUAGAGGUUGCCGAAAAUAAGAAAAACAAUCAGAGAGAGCACACGCAACCAGGGGAAAAGCUCCACACACCCAUAUAAAGAUCCACAAAAGCCGAGUCCUUUCUGGAUCAAGGAAGAGGAUGCCAAGAGAGCUCGCUAACUAUCAUGAAACCUAAAAAAUCUCUCGCCCAUGAUACAGAAAAACUGGUACAGCGAUCCUGGAGAUCUCGUCAUUAAGAAAAAAAAAUAAACUCUUUCACGAUCAAGAAGACAUAAGCCAUCAUCUAAAGUGCGCAAACGAAGGGAAGGAGGAAGCUUCUGAAAGAAAGAGCCUACCAACGUCAAGAUAAGUCCUCUCUCCCAGCAUGCACCAAAACUAUGACAUGUAAAAAACAUCAUCUGCAUACAAAACAAAGCUACAACAAACAAAACAAAGAACAUUAACAGAAAUCAGAUUCAAGGACAACAACCCUCUCUUCGAAGCGUCAAUCUAGAAAGAACACCAAAAAAUCUUUAUUUAACCACAAAACCCAUUAGCAAUGAGGAGGGAUCAAACCCACUAUUGGGCGGGGAAAUAAAUCGACCGACCCCACCCAAAAAGGACAGGAAACGGCCGUACACCAACAACAAAGAGCAACAGACGAAGCCCCAAAGACAAAAAUAAGAAGAAAGAGGGAGAGAUUUUCUCCCUAAAAAAUUAGAAAGAAAAAAUUUAUUUUUAUUCUUCUCUUAUUUAAUUAAAUUUAAAUUUUUGCAUUAAAAAUGUAAUUAAACCAAAUUGAGAGAUUAAUAUAUAGAAACAAAUCAGAAAUAAAUCAUUGUAGUUUGAUCAAUUAGUUCUUGGAACAACAAAAUGCAUACGCUGCAUAUAAUUCUCUCUGCUAAUCUAAACAAAUUUAAGAGAAAUUUCAAAAAACAUCUCAACAAUUAAAAUUCACAAAUAAAUUUAGAGAGACAAAG
rnacentral:lncRNA from 1 species